UACGUAGGGGGCUAGCGUUGUCCGGAAUCAUUGGGCGUAAAGAGCGUGUAGGCGGCUCGGUAAGUCCGCUGUGAAAGUCCAGGGCUCAACCCUGGAAUGCCAGUGGAAACUGUCGAGCUAGAGUCCGGAAGAGGCGAGUGGAAUUCCUGGUGUAGCGGUGAAAUGCGCAGAUAUCGGAAAGAACACCAACGGCGAAAGCACUCUGCUGGGCCGACACUGACACUGAGGGACGAAAGCUAGGGGAGCGAAUGGG
rnacentral:rRNA from 1 species